ACUGAACAUGAACAGAAGGUUACGGAAACAGUUUUACAUGGAAAUGCAGCUGUGAAGUGGGACAGUGCUUUUCAUAUCUCUGGGCUUUGGUUCCAUCACCUGUAAAAUGAUGAAUUAUUACCUUCCUGAAAUUGUUGUCACAGGGAUUAAAUGACAUAAGGAGGUUCAGUUGAAAGGAUGGCACUGCACACCCUCCUUGUCAGAGGAUAAAGCCAGAGACUCCACUGUGGCUGAUGUCACAUCAGACCCUGAGAAGGGCCGACAUUCUGAUCUGACAGAAUGCUUGGUGAAGAGAAGUACAGAGAAACAAAGCAAAGGACAUUUGCUCCCACGUAUUGUCCUGUUGCUGUGAACUCACCUUAGACAACACAAUUUCCCUCUGAAAAAUAAAGCAUGGCUAUCAGAAUACCCUUUGCA
rnacentral:lncRNA from 13 species